AGAGUUUGAUCAUGGCUCAGGACGAACGCUGGCGGCGUGCUUAACACAUGCAAGUCGAACGAGAAAGGCUCUUCGGAGCUGAGUACAGUGGCGAACGGGUGAGUAACACGUGGGCAACCUGCCCUAGGGAGCGGGACAACCCGAGGAAACUCGGGCUAAUACCGCAUGAUUCGCACGGCCAUAAGGUCGUGCGGGAAAUGGUAGCUUCGGCCUCCGCCCUGGGAUGGGCCCGCGGCGCAUUAGCUUGUUGGUGAGGGUAACGGCCCACCAAGGCGACGAUGCGUAGCUGGUCUGAGAGGACGAUCAGCCACACUGGGACUGAGACACGGCCCAGACUCCUACGGGAGGCAGCAGUGGGGAAUCUUGCGCAAUGGGCGGAAGCCUGACGCAGCAACGCCGCGUGUGGGAAGACGGCUUUCGGGUUGUAAACCACUUUCAGGGGGGACGAAGCUUCCGAGGUUAAUAGCCUACGGGGUGACGGUACCCCCAGAAGAAGCCCCGGCUAACUACGUGCCAGCAGCCGCGGUAAUACGUAGGGGGCGAGCGUUGUCCGGAAUCAUUGGGCGUAAAGCGCGUGUAGGCGGCUUGAUAAGUCUGGUGUGAAAUCUUGGGGCUUAACCCCAAGCCUGCACUGGAUACUGUCAAGCUUUGAGUCCGGGAGGGGAGAGCGGAAUUCCUAGUGUAGCGGUGAAAUGCGCAGAUAUUAGGAAGAACACCGGUGGCGAAGGCGGCUCUCUGGAACGGUACUGACGCUGAGACGCGAAAGCGUGGGGAGCGAACAGGAUUAGGUACCCUGGUAG
rnacentral:rRNA from 1 species